rnacentral:rRNA from 1 species
GAUGAACGCUGGCGGCGUGCCUAAUACAUGCAAGUCGAGCGAACGGACGAGAAGCUUGCUUCUCUGAUGUUAGCGGCGGACGGGUGAGUAACACGUGGAUAACCUACCUAUAAGACUGGGAUAACUUCGGGAAACCGUAGCUAAUACCGGAUAAUAUUUUGAACCGCAUGGUUCAAAAGUGAAAGACGGUCUUGCUGUCACUUAUAGAUGGAUCCGCGCUGCAUUAGCUAGUUGGUAAGGUAACGGCUUACCAAGGCAACGAUGCAUAGCCGACCUGAGAGGGUGAUCGGCCACACUGGAACUGAGACACGUUCCAGACUCCUACGGGAGGCAGCAGUAGGGAAUCUUCCGCAAUGGGCGAAAGCCUGACGGAGCAACGCCGCGUGAGUGAUGAAGGUCUUCGGAUCGUAAAACUCUGUUAUUAGGGAAGAACAUAUGUGUAAGUAACUGUGCACAUCUUGACGGUACCUAAUCAGAAAGCCACGGCUAACUACGUG